GACGAACGCUGGCGGCGUGCCUAAUACAUGCAAGUCGAACGCAGUGGGGACGGGUGAGUAACACGUGGGUAACCUCCCAUCAGAGGGGAUAACACUUGGAAACAGGUGCUAAACCGAUACUGAUGGAUGGACCCGCGGUGCAUUAGCUAGUUGGGGAGGUAACGGCUCACCAAGGCCACGAUGCAUAGCCGACCGGAGAGGGUGAUCGGGCACACUGGGACGGAGACACGGCCCAGACUCCUACGGGAGGCAGCAGUGGGGAAUCUUCGGCAAUGGACGAAAGUCUGACCGAGCAACGCCGCGUGAGUGAAGAAGGGCUGCGGAUCGUAAAACUCUGUUAUUAGGGAAGCGGUACCUAAUCAGAAAGCCACGGCUAACUACGUGCCAGCCGCCGCGGUAAUUC
rnacentral:rRNA from 1 species